AUUUCCAUAAAUAAUCCCAGAUUUUUGGUGAGCGAAGCUAUAAACAACUGUUCCACGUGAAGAAAUGCAAGGCCCCCAAUUCAGCCGCCUGCCUGCAUGAGGAGGGACAGCUGCAACCAAGCAAGGGGGGAGUGCCACCUCUGCAACAUGUGCCCCCUUACCUUAGUCUCCACAGAAGAUUCUUUGGGGAUAGCUGAUGGCUCUAGAUUCCCUUUCUGCACUCAGGGGAUCCUGUGAAAAGUCGUUUUUGGAGCUUAACCUCAAUGCCGUUCCCUGGUUCUUCAGUGAAUCCGUUCCUUGUAUACGGCUGCCUCAGUGCUCUACUCCUCUAGGGCCCAAUCCUGCUCCUGGCCAAUCUCCAGUUCUGUCAAGCUGA
rnacentral:lncRNA from 1 species